GCAAACUUGGUCAUUUAGAGGAAGUAAAAGUCGUAACAAGGUUUCCGUAGGUGAACCUGCGGAAGGAUCAUUAAAAAAGUACUCGCCACGCUGGUUAGGUCGAAAACGGACUUACCCGCUGCUGGCGUAGUAUGCAACCACUUGUUUACUUGUACCUGUUGCUUCCGUGGAGUUACGGGUUCUCGCCCUGUUUGUAGGUGCGGGUUACCUUCCACGGGUGUAUUUUUUGAAAUCUUGUUUGAUUGCCUGUAGUGUCUGAAUUUCUAUUUAAAUAAAGUUAAAACUUUCAACAACGGAUCUCUAGGUUCUCGCAUCGAUGAAGAACGCAGC
rnacentral:misc_RNA from 1 species